UCAGCCCUACUCAGAGUCCUUGCCUCUGUUCACCUCCUAGGGCCCCCUUUCCUCCAAGGGAAUCUCAACUAACCAUUACUGAGAACCUUCGAGAAAUGGCCAGCUCCUUUGCUCUUCGUGAGCCUUCCCUCUAAAACAUCUCACGGACACCGCCCCCCAACACCAAUUAAAAUCCAGCUGCCCCUGGCUAAUACCCCAUAAGAACACAGGGCUUUCUGAAGAUACCGUUCCCAUGUACUGGAUGAUAUCCACGGUUGUAAGACCUAUCAUUCACGAUAAAGAGAGACUUACUUUACUCAGUAAGUCGUGUCCAAGGAACCAAAUUUUAGAAAAGCAAAUGCCGAUCACUGAGCCGAUUUUUUCUUUCAGAUACAUUUUACUGUUUAAAUUUACCUGAGGUAAACUGGGAAAGGAAGUGUUUCACAGAAUCUUCGUGGUACUGGAUUAUAGAAAGGAAGAAAGAAAAACUCAGAAAAAGAAAAUCCAUUAAUAUACUGUCAAUUUGAAGGGUUCCACAAGGACAACUGCCUUAAGAAAACACCAACCGAGAAGGGACCAUGGCUUUGGGAAAGGACCAGUUUCCACCCUUAACUUCAUCAGCGACCAUCUUUCUCAGGGAAUGAGAUAAUCUUCUGGUGGGGGGAGGGUAAGAAGAAAAGCAAAGGGAAACAGAAGUCAAGGACCGAAUAAAAUGGAUGCCAAGAAACCAGGGAGAUGAGAUUAAAAAAAAAAACUGUCA